rnacentral:rRNA from 1 species
UCCGGGGAUAACAGGCUUAUCUCCCCCAAGAGUUCACAUCGACGGGGAGGUUUGGCACCUCGAUGUCGGCUCAUCACAUCCUGGAGCUGGAGAAGGUUCCAAGGGUUGGGCUGUUCGCCCAUUAAAGUGGUACGUGAGCUGGGUUUAGAACGUCGUGAGACAGUUCGGUCUCUAUCCGCCGUGGGCGCAAGAUAUUUGAGGGAAUCUGCUUCUAGUACGAGAGGACCGAAGUGGACGAACCUCUGGUGUACCAGUUGUUCCAUCAGGAGCACGGCUGGGUAGCUAUGUUCGGUCCGGAUAAGCGCUGAAAGCAUAUAAGCGCGAAACCGAUCCCAAGAUUAGAUAUCUCUAACAUAAGUUAAUAAGGCUCGUUGUAGACUACGACGUUGAUAGGCUGCAGGUGUAAGUGUAGUAAUACAUUCAGCUGAGCAGUACUAAUAAGCCGAACGGCUUUACCAA